rnacentral:rRNA from 1 species
GGGGAACCAGGACUUUUACCUUGAAAAAAUUAGAGUGUUCMAAGCAGGCAACGUGUUCGCCUGAAUAGAUUAGCAUGGAAUAAUAGAAUAGGACCUUGGUUCUAUUUYGUUGGUUUUUAGGAGCCACGGUAAUGAUUAAUAGGGACAGUUGGGGGCAUUCGUAUUUAAUUGUCAGAGGUGAAAUUCUUGGAUCUAUUAAAGACGAACUACUGCGAAAGCAUCUGCCAAGGAUGUUUUCAUUAAUCAAGAACGAAAGUUAGGGGAUCGAAGACGAUUAGAUACCGUCGUAGUCUUAACCAUAAACUAUGCCGACUAGGGAUCGGGCGGUGCUAUUGUUUGAUGGCCCGCUCGGCACCUUACGAGAAAUCAAAGUUUCUAGGCUCCGGGGGGAGUAUGGUCGCAAGGCUGAAACUUAAAGGAAUUGACGGAAGGGCACCACCAGGAGUGGAGCCUGCGGCUUAAUUUGACUCAACACGGGGAAACUCACCAGGUCCAGACAUAGUGAGGAUUGACAGAUUGAGGGCUCUUUCUUGAUUCUAUGGGUGGUGGUGCAUGGCCGUUCUUAGUUGGUGGAGUGAUUUGUCUGGUUAAUUCCGAUAACGAACGAGACCU